UACGUAGGGUGCAAGCGUUAAUCGGAAUUACUGGGCGUAAAGCGUGCGCAGGCGGUUAUGCAAGACAGAGGGGAAAUCCCCGGGCUCAACCUGGGAACUGCCUUUGUGACUGCAUAGCUAGAGUACGGUAGAGGGGGAUGGAAUUCCGCGUGUAGCAGUGAAAUGCGUAGAUAUGCGGAGGAAUACCGGUGGCGAAGGCGGCCCCCUGGACAAAGACUGACGCUCAGGUGCGAAAGCGUGGGGAGCAAACAGG
rnacentral:rRNA from 1 species